UCCUGACAUUUUUUUGCUUUUGCUCAUUUAAGCACCUGUCCUCAGCCUCUGACUCAGUAAGAACUCAUGCCUUGUUCAUCAACAUAAAUCAAUCUAUCUUUCUCUCUCUCUCUCUCUUAUGACAGCUGUAGAAAAUAGGACAAUAUGGUCGUCUGUCUAUUAGGAUCUCUCAGGCCAAUACAGCACAAAUGAAGGGUGUUAGAAAU